rnacentral:rRNA from 1 species
UUUUGGUUCUGUGUCUUGGUUUUAGCUACAGGAAACACAUGGUACUUUAUGGGUUCCGGUGAGUAGGAAAUAGCUGGAUUAAAGCAGAUUUUAAUAUUUUGCUUUAUUUCCUAUUUUUAGGCAUAAUUGUAUUUAUAUGACGCCUAUGUUUAUUCACUUUGUACACCAGUGUUGAAGGUUGAACAAUAAAUUGCGGUUUGAUUCAGUGAGUUGCUACUAAGGCCUGGUAAAGUUUGUGCCAGCAACUGCGGUUAGACAAACAGGCCAAGCUAAGAUUUGUGCAGCAUAAAGUAGGGUUAGGGGUGCAAAAGUUUAGUGCUUGGGAGUUUAAGAUGACUUGAGGGGUGCAAUCCUAAGAGUUGUGGUUUUAUCUAGUAUUUCCUGGUUGCCUGACGCCCUGAAACUCCAACUAAAAACCGGGAUUUGGUAUCCCGUUAUUCGGAGUGUAAACUUUGGUUUGUAAUCUGCUGGGGUACUACGAGCGUUAGAUUUAUUUUGGCUAGGCUUAAAACUCAAAAAACUUGGCGGUGUUUCAUAUCCUCCCAGGGGAACCUGUCUCAUAAACGAUGAUCCACGUUUUAUCUUACCUUGUUUUGAAACGCUUAGUGUGUAGCGGGUCAGCUUGUAUACCGUCGCCGAUAGAUCACCCUUGAGGGGCUUAAAGUGGUCGGGAAGAGAAGUUGAAAGUUGAUAGGUUGCUGCUCUAUUACGAGUAAUUGCGGCUGAUACUUGUUAUGCUGUGGGGUUUAAGGGCCCUACAGUCGUUAGCUUCUCAGGAUGUCAGAUCAAGGUGCAGCUUAUGGCGAGGUGAUGAUGGGUUACAAUAACUUAUUUGUUAUACGGAUUUUUCGUUGUAAUGCGGAAUUUAAAGGCGGACUUGGAUGUAAUGUUGAAUUAGGAAGUCACAGUGAACUAGGUUUUGAGAUGUGUACAAAUCGCCCGUCGCUCUCGUUGAAAAAUGAGAUAAGUCGUAACAUAGUAGGGGUACCGGAAGGUGCCCCUGGAAUAAUG